CCAUUAUUUCUUCUUUGGAGCGUGUCUUUGUAAUUUACCUCAAAGCUUAAACACCCCACCAAAAGGCCCACGUGAAAUUAGAAGAAUAACCCUUUUUUCUCAGAAAAGGAUAAUAAAAACUGAGAAAAGGAUUGUAUUUGCAGCAUGGUUUCAGUGAAUGGUAAGAAGAAGGAAAUGGAAGUAAACAAAGAGGACGGAAAUGAAAUAAUAAAACUUUUUUUUUUUUUUUUGGUUUGGUGUGUGUGCGUUGUUUUAUGGGAUUUUAAAUCAAACUCAAACUUGGAAAGUCACCAUCUUUCAUCGCCUCCUAGUAACUUUCUUACACGAGAGGAUAGCCAAGUCUCUCUCUUUCUCUCUUCUAAAAAUAUAUAAAUACAAAAACCACAAAUAUUUAUAUCCAUUUUUUUAUCCAAAUCCAUUUUCUCUUACACAUCUCUGCCUCUCUGUUUGAUACACAAAAUCCAUUCUUUUACACACAUAUAUAUAUUUAUACAAUCUGUUGAUAUCAAAAUAGUAAUUGGAAGGAACGAAGAAAAGAGAGGAAAAGGAGGGCCUUUAAGCCCUCUCUUCUUGUUAUGCUUCCUCUCAGAUCUUAGAUUCUCUUACUUUCCCAUCUGGGUUUUUUCUCCCUGGUAUAUUUAAUAUCAUUGUCUCUUCAAAAAUAAAUUUUAAUAAACAAAAACAGCAAAGCUUGUUUUUCUUUUGUUUUCUUCAUUAUUUGCUCUGAAUGAUUUCUGGGUAUUGGAUCUUUCACUCGUUUCACAUUAAAGUUGGUUCCUUUUCUGCUUUGAUUUUUAGGAGUCCCUGAUUGUUGGUCGAUUCGUAAUCGAUCGGCGAUUGGUCUCAUGCUUUUCGAUUGAAUCCAAAAACACCCGUCGUUUUAUAUUGAUAUAAAUAACCAAGCUUUGCUUGAUUUCUGUAUUCUGACAAGAAUGGAAAUGGAGCUUGGCAAGCUAUUCGUCGGUGGGAUUUCUUGGGACACAAAUGAGGACCGUCUUAGAGAGUAUUUUCAAACUUUUGGGGAAGUUGUGGAAGCUGUGAUAAUGAAGGAUCGGGCUACCGGUCGUGCCCGUGGAUUUGGGUUUGUUGUUUUUGCUGACCCAGCUAUUGCAGAAAGAGUCGUUAUGGAAAAGCAUAUGAUAGAUGGUAGAACUGUUGAGGCAAAGAAGGCAGUUCCUAGGGAUGACCAGAACAUUCUAAACAAAAGCAAUGUUAGCAUUCAUGGAUCACCUGGUCCUGCUCGCACAAAAAAGAUAUUUGUAGGAGGCUUAGCAUCCACAGUCACUGAGAGUGACUUUAAGAGGUACUUUGAUCAGUUUGGUACAAUUACAGAUGUCGUUGUGAUGUAUGAUCACAACACUCAGAGGCCACGAGGUUUUGGAUUUAUAACUUAUGAUUCAGAGGAAGCCGUGGAUAUAGUCUUGCGGAGAACAUUUCAUGAACUCAAUGGGAAAAUGGUUGAGGUCAAGCGGGCUGUCCCCAAAGAAUCAUCUCCGGGGCCUAGCCGGAACCAGUUAGGUGGGUAUAACUUUGGUCUGAGUAGAGUCAAUAGCUUCCUUAAUGGUUACAUGCAGGGUUAUAAUACUAGUUCGGUUGGAGGUUAUGGUGUUAGAAUGGAAGGUAGAUUUAGUCCAGUUACUGUUGGUCGCAAUGGAUUUUCUCCAUUGACCCCUAGUUAUGGGAUGGGACUGAAUUUUGACUCAAAUUUGAGUCCAAGCUAUGGAGGGAGCUCAAACCUUAGUUCUAACCUAAGCUAUGGACGGGGAUUGAGCACUUCAUUUAAUGAAAAUUCAAACAGGUUUGCCAGCCCCUUUGGGUAUGGUGGGGGCAGUGGAGGAAAUAGUUGUAUCUUAAACUCAGCAGGUCGAAAUAUGUGGGGAAAUGGAAGUCUUAUCUAUGCUACUAAUUCCACAAACUCUAGUACUAUUGUGGGUUCUGGAAGUGGGAAUUCAGGUGUGAGUUCUUUUGGUAGCAUUGGAGCACUUUGGGGUUCCUCUCCUGGUUCAGGUCAAGGUGAAGGUGGUGCUUCUGCUUACAAUAAUGGCAAUCUUAGGUAUGGAAGUGUAGAUUUUGGUGUUGGAUCAGGAGGGAUAGGCUAUGGGAGAAACAGUGGGACCAGCGUUGCACAGGUAUCAUCCCAUGGUGCUUCAAAUGAUGGUUACGAUGGGGCAUAUGCUGACAUUUAUGAAAAUGGUUCAUUUUAUGGGGAUUCCACUUGGCGAUCUUCUCCCUUAGACAUGGAGCAGUCUAGCUCUUUUGGUUUUGGCCUGGGAAAUACAACUUCAGAUGUUAUGUCUAAUAACUCUGCUGGUUACAUUGGUGGCUCUAGUGUUACCAAUAGGCAGUCAAAUAGAGGAAUUGCCGCAUAGGAUGAUGAUGGUGGGAUGUCAAAAGAUAAUUGUAGGAUAUUUGUAUGUUGGAGAGGGUGAAUGGCUGGAUUUCUACGUUUUCCUCAGUUUUCUUUGCUGGGAUUAAUUAAAUGUAAAAUCAGAUUGUGGGUAUACUCAGAUUAUUGUAUCAUGCAUCUCUUGGUGACAGUGAUACAUACAAAGAGCAGACUUUUUUUUUUCCUUUACUUGAGAGUUGUUGGAUUUUCUGCUGUUAUAUCCAGUGAAGUUGCUGGGUUCUUGUAUUUUCUAGAUUGAGAUGUUUGGUUUGGAUUUACAUUGUGAAACACUGGAGGGAUACUCUUUCCCCAGAAUAAGAUGCUACAAAAUGUGAUUUAUUUCUUGU